AAAUUGAAGAGUUUGAUCAUGGCUCAGAUUGAACGCUGGCGGCAGGCCUAACACAUGCAAGUCGAACGGUAGCACAGAGAGCUUGCUCUCGGGUGACGAGUGGCGGACGGGUGAGUAAUGUCUGGGAAACUGCCCGAUGGAGGGGGAUAACUACUGGAAACGGUAGCUAAUACCGCAUAACGUCGCAAGACCAAAGUGGGGGACCUUCGGGCCUCACACCAUCGGAUGUGCCCAGAUGGGAUUAGCUAGUAGGUGGGGUAACGGCUCACCUAGGCGACGAUCCCUAGCUGGUCUGAGAGGAUGACCAGCCACACUGGAACUGAGACACGGUCCAGACUCCUACGGGAGGCAGCAGUGGGGAAUAUUGCACAAUGGGCGCAAGCCUGAUGCAGCCAUGCCGCGUGUAUGAAGAAGGCCUUCGGGUUGUAAAGUACUUUCAGCGAGGAGGAAGGCGUUGUGGUUAAUAACCACAGCGAUUGACGUUACUCGCAGAAGAAGCACCGGCUAACUCCGUGCCAGCAGCCGCGGUAAUACGGAGGGUGCAAGCGUUAAUCGGAAUUACUGGGCGUAAAGCGCACGCAGGCGGUUUGUUAAGUCAGAUGUGAAAUCCCCGGGCUCAACCUGGGAACUGCAUUUGAAACUGGCAAGCUUGAGUCUCGUAGAGGGGGGUAGAAUUCCAGGUGUAGCGGUGAAAUGCGUAGAGAUCUGGAGGAAUACCGGUGGCGAAGGCGGCCCCCUGGACAAAGACUGACGCUCAGGUGCGAAAGCGUGGGGAGCAAACAGGAUUAGAUACCCUGGUAGUCCACGCCGUAAACGAUGUCUACUUGGAGGUUGUGCCCUUGAGGCGUGGCUUCCGGAGCUAACGCGUUAAGUAGACCGCCUGGGGAGUACGGCCGCAAGGUUAAAACUCAAAUGAAUUGACGGGGGCCCGCACAAGCGGUGGAGCAUGUGGUUUAAUUCGAUGCAACGCGAAGAACCUUACCUGGUCUUGACAUCCACGGAAGUUUUCAGAGAUGAGAAUGUGCCUUCGGGAACCGUGAGACAGGUGCUGCAUGGCUGUCGUCAGCUCGUGUUGUGAAAUGUUGGGUUAAGUCCCGCAACGAGCGCAACCCU
rnacentral:rRNA from 1 species